AACCUUUUAUAUGAGGUCGGAACUUUUGUUUUUGCGUGUGGUCGCUGUGUACCUCUGUUUGCUAUGAGCAUGUGUUACCGGAAUAUCUCUGGGGACCCCGGUUUUUGUUGCUCCGGGAGAUCUUUUUGAGAUCCUCGCUGGCCGUUUUUGCUCCAGGAGAUCUUACGAGAUCCUGAUUGUUUUUUGCUCUGGGAGGUCUUUUUGAGAUCCUCAUCGGCCGUUUUUGCUCCAGGAGGUCUUUUUGAGAUCCUCGCCGGCCGUUUUUGCUCCAGGAGAUCUUACGAGAUCCUGGCCGUUUUUGCUCCGGGAGGUCUUUUUGAGAUCCUCGUCGGCCGUUUUUGCUCCAGGAGAUCUUACGAGAUUCUGGCCGUUUUUGCUCCCGGAGGUCUUUUUGAGAUCCUCGCCGGCCGUUUUUGCUCCAAG
rnacentral:lncRNA from 1 species